UUGACGGGGCCCGCGACAAGCGGAGGAGCAUGUGGUUAAUUCGAUGCAACGCGAAGAACCUUACCUGGUCUUGACAUCCCGGAGACCCUUAGGAACUAGGGGUGCUUCCAUCUGGAAGAAUCUGGAGACAGGUGCUGCAUGGCUGUCGUCAGCUCGUGUCGUGAGAUGUUGGGUUAAGUCCCGCAACGAGCGCAACCCUUGCCUUUAGUUGCCAGCAGUUCGGCUGGGCACUCUAAAGGGACUGCCGGUGUUAAACCGGAGGAAGGUGGGGAUGACGUCAAGUCCUCAUGGCCUUUAUGACCAGGGCUACACACGUACUACAAUGGCCGAUACAAAGGGCAGCGACACUGCGAGGUGAAGCCAAUCCCGUAAAAUCGGUCUCAGUCCGGAUUGGAGUCUGCAACUCGACUCCAUGAAGUUGGAAUCGCUAGUAAUCGUGGAUCAGCAUGCCACGGUGAAUACGUUCCCGGGCCUU
rnacentral:rRNA from 1 species